AAUGAACUUUGCCAGCCUCAGUCAUGACUUGUGUUUUCGUCAAAAUCGUAUUCUGCGUAGUCGCUUUAACAUUAUAAUUGGUCCGAAAAUUCGUCACUUUCUAGAGCGAAUUGUAAUUACGAGGCCGCAAAUACGUGACUUUACAACGCGAUACACAGGACGAUCUACCAAAGAUCGGAUACAAACAUUGAAACAAUUAAAUAUUAUAAUAGGUACAUUGCGUCCCAACGCAAUUACAGGAUCAUCAAUAACAUCAUUAAAAUGACGUUAAUAUUUCGAAGUUUAACUUUGUUCGUCAGUUUUAAUUGCAUGUUAUUCAUAACUGGGGUAAGUACCUAUUAUGUUUUUUACAUUUUACUCAGAAAUAAUUAAAAAUAGUGGCACAGGAACUAUAUUUGAUGUGGGGUAUCCAAAUAUGUAGAUGGUAUAAUUUUCCAUAGUUACACUAUAUUUCCCGGAACCCAUUUUCCUCUCCGCGGUAUGUAGGAGAUGUGCUCACUUCCUCUAUGUGGUUUUUUUCUACACUCCCAGCAGUGCUCAAAAUGGAAAACGAAUUGAAUCGUAAAACAUCAUUAAAAAAAAAUACUUAUAGCAUAAAUAUAGUAUAUUUAAUGUUUAUUGUUUAUAUUAUUUGUUGAUAGAAAUCACAAGCUUUUUUUCUUUAUGAAAAUUUGAACAGAAAUUUCAUUGUCGUUUAUUUCAAAUGUGACUUAAAUUAAUACUAACAAAACAUAAUUUAAAAGUAUAAAAACAAAAUUUAAUUCAAUUUCUGUAUAUAUUUGUAUAGUUUUUUCAGUGGCAACUUCUAAAGUCCGUUAAAAAAUAUCUUAGACAAUCUGAGUUCGGGCCUAAUUUACACAGAUUAGAGAGAGAGAGAAAGAGAGAGAGAGAGAGAGAGAAAUAUUAUUUCCCGUUUUCAUACACCUAUCUGUCCACUCAUAUUACUUAAUAAGCAAUAAGAAAAUCAUUGGCUGUUUUUUAUUCAUCUGUCCGUUCGCUUAAAACAGUGGUUCCCAACCUUUUUGAAACUAUGGACCAGUCAGAGAACUUUCGACACGUCUCGAACCACCUCAAUUUCAGACCUAAUUUUUUUAUAAACAAAAAUCAAUUAUUUUAACAUAUUUUAGAAUUUAGAUUAUGAAUAAAUAAAAUCAAUGAAAUUCUUAAUAGGUUCUUUCUUAUGAUAAUGUUUAAAAUUAAUCAAUUUUAAGAAAAGUCUAAAAUUAUCAACAAUUUAACACUAAUUACUAUUAUAAAAACAAUUUAAUGCGAUUUUUGGGCUUAAAUUUCCUUCAAUUACAAAAAUAUUCUUGGGGGAAUACUGCUCAAAGCUACACGCAUGUCUUUAGUGGUGUUCAACCGGUUUAUUUGUUUAUUUUUAAUAUAGAGUAAUCCGAAAAAUUUGUUGAAAACAUCACUAAACAUCUUAAUGAGAUUUCCCAAUGCUUAGGAUACAUAAUUGCUUUUUACACCAAAGCUCUUCGAUAUGUAUGUAAGAUUCAAACCUAUCCUUACAGUUUCGAUCGUUUUGUAAUCCUAUCAAAUCUUCCUGGUUAUUAUCAGGUACCUCAUCAACGUUAACAAUAAAAGAGUUUCAAAUCAUACUUCGGAUACCUAUCAUUUCGAAACCAUUAAACCUUUAAGUUUAAAGUUUUAAAGUUUACUAAACAUAACUGUCGGUAUUUGUUUCACGUCCCAAUGGAAAAAUGAAAUAUUUUUAAAUAUCUAGAUAUUGCUCGUGGACCACAAUAAUGUUUUGAGAAACACCAGUGGUCCAUGGACUAUUGGUUGGGAACCUUUGGUUUGAAAUAAUGUUUUGGCCGCUAAUUUUAGGCCCCUAAUUUUAGGCCCAUAAAUGCAAUGGGCCUGUGGUUUAUUGUCUGUCAUGUCACACUAUUGCUACGUCACUACACUAAGUGUUAACUUUUAUACAUUAUAACUCAGCAAAUUACACUAAUUUGUGUAGUGAUAAUUUCACAGAAAUAAAAUCAAUUGCAACUGGCUUUUUGAAACCAUAAAAUCAUAAUAUAAAAAAUUACAUUAUGAUAUUAUUAUAUUAAUAUUAUUUUUAUAUAUAAAACCAUAAUAUCAGUUAUGUUGUAAAAUAAUGAAAUAGUAUUUAUUUUAAAUUCAAAUAAUAUUAAAUAUUUGUUUUUGUUAUUCAUAAAGUUUACGUAGACUACACAUAACUCGCUUAAUUUUGAUUUUAGAGUUAAAACAUCUUUUAUAAAAUCAAAAGAGAACAAUAUUCUGGGAGGUAAAACGUUGCAUUUUUAAAAAUUUUUUUCCGAAUAUAACAGUUAAUUUAUCGUUUAUAAAUAACGACUUUUUCAACGUAUUUUUAAUUAGCUAAAACUUUUAAAAAAAAUACAUUUUCCAAAAAAACGCAACAUCUCGUCCUCCAGAAUAUUGUUUUCUAUUCAUUUUACAAAAGGUGCUUUUACUCUAAAACCAAAACUAAGCGAGUUCUGUGUAGUCUGCGUAAGCAUGUUUUCACUAUAACUUGUGUUAGUAAAACAGAAACAACAAAUGCAUGUGUAACCUGCUCUUAUGACGUAGGUAUAAUUAUUAUGUUUUAUAUUACCGGCCAAACCCGAUUUCAGGAUGAACUAGUUUAUCUUUUACACCAAAUGUGUUAAGCCUUUAAAACAUCGGUAAUAUGUAUAAUAAAUACGUAUGUAUACCUACAGAGCGAUACAAAAUGCAUGUUACAGCCAUUUUACCGUGUAAAUAUUAUUCAAAAUAGAGAAAAAUGUAUAAUACAAAAGUUUUUCGAUUUAUAAACAUCUAAAAUAAUAUGUACAUUUUUUUUCUUGAUGUCUUUUUUGGGGAGAGGGAAAGGUUUCGGGUUAACUUUUUAGUUUAGGUAGGGAUGGAAUAGUGGAACACUGUAUGCGUUCGUGUGGUAGUACGGCACGGCGCGCGGCGUUUGAAUUGUGAAUAAUUCCACUACUCUCCUCCUACAUAAACUAAAAAAUGGAAAAUCUCGUAAUCCUGCCGACGGGAUGACGAAAAUCAAAAAUUUUCAACACUAAUAUGUAUUUGAACUGACAUUAUAUCUAUUUACGGAACUUUGAAUAUAGGUUUUCAUUUGAAAUUCAAAAGUUGACCUCAAAAAAAAGUAAAAAAAAGUAAAAAAAAAAACAAACUAAACUACAAAUCUACAAAUUAUUUUAGAUACCUAUUUGUAAUUUUAAAAUCUUUUGUAUUGUAUAUUUUUUUUUUUUAUUGAUUUUGAAUAUUUACAUGAUAAAAUAGCCGUAACAUAAAUUUGGAAUCAACUUGCAGUAUAGUCCAGUGGUUCCCGAUUAGCAUUGAGCCACGGACCCCUAGUUAAAACUUAAAUUGGACGGGGGACCCCUUAUUUGUGUAUACUUACUUUUCAAUUUUGUUUAAUUAUAAAAAUGAAUAUGAUUUAUUUUAAUAAAUUGGCGGACCACCAAUUGGGAACCACUGGUAUAGUCAGUCGAUAUAGAACAUAUUAAAUCUACUCCAUCCCCGUUCGGUGUUUUUUUUUUUUUUUUCUGUAACAAUAACAGAGUAAAAUAGUCGUUUUUAGACGUAGACAACCCCCCCGCCCCUUCCCGCCGAACGAAAUGGAAUAGAUUGCGGUUGCGGUAGAUACGUUUUCGGUGUAGAUAGCAUGCGGCGCGAGUUCCCACAGUUUUCCAUCCUCAUUAAGAUUAAUUAACAGUUUCUAUAAACUAUCCGUAGUUUAUACAAACGCUAAUAAACGAUUUACAAUAUUUUCAAUUCAGUUUACAGCGCGAAAACACGACCACAGAUAAUUGUAUUAUACAGGUAGGUUUAAAAUGACAAUUGAAAUUUGCAGUUUUACAAUAUCCACAACGGUGUUCAUGAUAAUAAUGGCGCAGAUGCCCACUGUCCGUUUGAAACUUCCGUCAGUCAUCAAUGUCGCGUUUACGUUACGCAAAAUCGUUGAAGUCGUUUACCUGUCGGGUCGUCACGCACA